rnacentral:rRNA from 1 species
UACGUAGGGUGCGAGCGUUAAUCGGAAUUACUGGGCGUAAAGCGUGCGCAGGCGGUUCGUUAAGUCAGCUGUGAAAGCCCCGGGCUCAACCUGGGAAUUGCGGUUGAAACUGGCGAACUAGAAUCUGGCAGAGGAGCGUGGAAUUCCCAGUGUAGAGGUGAAAUUCGUAGAUAUUGGGAAGAACACCGGUGGCGAAGGCGGCCUGCUGGGCAGUUGCUGACACUGAGGCGCGACAGCGUGGGGAGCAAACAGG